rnacentral:rRNA from 1 species
UGCGUAGGCGGGUUCUUAAGUCAAGGGUGAAAUCCUGGAGCUCAACUCCAGAACUGCCUUUGAUACUGAGAGUCUUGAGUUCGGGAGAGGUGAGUGGAACUGCGAGUGUAGAGGUGAAAUUCGUAGAUAUUCGCAAGAACACCAGUGGCGAAGGCGGCUCACUGGCCCGAUACUGACGCUGAGGCACGAAAGCGUGGGGAGCAAACA